UACGAAGGGUGCUAGCGUUGUUCGGAAUUACUGGGCGUAAAGCGCGCGUAGGCGGCUUUUCAAGUCAGGGGUGAAAUCCCACGGCUCAACCGUGGAAUUGCCUUUGAAACUGUAAAGCUAGAGUGUCGGAGGGGAUAGCGGAAUUGCUAAUGUAGAGGUGAAAUUCGUAGAUAUUAGCAGGAACACCGGUGGCGAAGGCGGCUAUCUGGACGACAACUGACGCUGAGGCGCGAAAGCGUGGGGAUCAAACAGG
rnacentral:rRNA from 1 species